UGGGGAAUCUUGGACAAUGGGCGCAAGCCUGAUCCAGCCAUGCCGCGUGGAUGAUGAAGGCCUUAGGGUUGUAAAAUCCUUUUCGCCGAGGACGAUAAUGACGGUACUCGGAGAAGAAGCUCCGGCUAACUUCGUGCCAGCAGCCGCGGUAAUACGAAGGGGGCUAGCGUUGUUCGGAUUUACUGGGCGUAAAGCGCAUGUAGGCGGGCCGUUAAGUUAGGGGUGAAAUCCCGAGGCUCAACCUCGGAACUGCCUCUAAAACUGGCGGCCUGGACCUAAGUAGAGGCAAGUGGAAUUGCGAGUGUAGAGGUGAAAUUCGUAGAUAUUCGCAGGAACACCAGUGGCGAAGGCGACUUGCUGGACUUAUGGUGACGCUGAGAUGCGAAAGCGUGGGGAGCAAACAGGAUUAGAUACCCAAGUAGUCCCUGAGCGGGCUGGCAAGGCGCAU
rnacentral:rRNA from 1 species